AGAAUCAACGCUGGCGGCGCGCCUAACACAUGCAAGUCGAACGAGAAAGCGGGGCAACUCGCGAGUAAAGUGGCGUACGGGUGAGUAACACGUGGAUCAUCUACCUUCUAGUGGGGAAUAACUUUGGGAAACCGAAGCUAAUACCGCAUAAGCUCGAGAGAGGAAAGCAGCAAUGCGCUGGAAGAGGAGUCCGCGGCCGAUUAGCUAGUUGGUAGGGUAAAAGCCUACCAAGGCUACGAUCGGUAGCCGGCCUGAGAGGGCACACGGCCACACUGGCACUGAAACACGGGCCAGACUCCUACGGGAGGCAGCAGUGGGGAAUCUUGCACAAUGGGGGAAACCCUGAUGCAGCGACGCCGCGUGAGCGAUGAAGCCCUUCGGGGUGUAAAGCUCUUUCGGCAGGGAAGAUUAUGACGGUACCUGCAGAAGCAGCUGCGGCUAACUACGUGCCAGCACGCCGC
rnacentral:rRNA from 1 species